ACCCUAAAACCCUCCCCCAAAGUGCUCCGCCACUGUGGAAAACCAGUGAUCUAGGAACAAGACGGGGCUUCUCAUGGACCUCGAUCCGGGGCUUGUUCCUUGUCUUCUUGAUGUUCCUCUGAUUUGGAGGCAUCUUCUAACUCUCCUGCGGCAACCCUAACAAGCUUCAGCUCUGGGAAAGAUCCAAUCAGCGAUGGAUGCAAUGAGAGGUUGAUCGAAUCAAAACCUGUAAGCCAGUUUCCCCUGGAAUCUAGAGAAUAGUAACUACAAAGCUUUGGUUGCACAAGAGCUGAAGUCAAGGGGUCUAAUCUGCCAAUGAGACCAAAAGAUGCCAAUCACAUGAGCUGAAUAUCUAUUCACCGGACUGGGGUGUGUUGUAAUUAAUAUAAAUCUUGAGUUUCCGGAAGCCGUCAUUGAGGAGCAGGACGAUAAUUUUGCGGACAAUUACCUAUUUUCAUCAACUAAAGACCUCAAACACAAGCAAAAACAGUGGGGAAAGAAAAAGGAAACAAACAUGCUGUGUAUGAAUGGAAGGAUCACUUUCAGAAAUAUGGUGGAAAAGGAUGGAAGUGGACCAAAAUUUCAUUUCUUGGAAGUCGACUUCUUCACUUAAGAUGUUUGUUUCUCAGGAAACUGGAAGUCGGUGGUGUCGCACUCGUAUUAAUCUCAUCUAUUAUUAACUUGAUUUUGGUUUAAAAUCUUUAAAGCCUGGUACAGUAUCAAAAAUUCUUUUGGAACUAAAAUUUGACAUUAUAAAUGUAUUAUCGCUUACAAAACAAACUAGAGUUGGCAAUUGAUUAAUAACUAUAAUUUUUCCCCUUAGUGUGUAAUAUGUAUAGCAUCAUGUGUAAAGUCUACCGAUAAUGAACAAAUAGUCCAUUUGAAGUUUUGUUAUUC